rnacentral:rRNA from 1 species
UUGAACGCUGGCGGCAGGCCUAACACAUGCACGUCGAACGGUAACAGGAAACAGCUUGCUGUUUCGCUGACGAGUGGCGGACGGGUGAGUAAUGUCUGGGAAACUGCCUGAUGGAGGGGGAUAACUACUGGAAACGGUAGCUAAUACCGCAUAACGUCGCAAGACCAAAGAGGGGGACCUUCGGGCCUCUUGCCAUCGGAUGUGCCCAGAUGGGAUUAGCUAGUAGGUGGGGUAACGGCUCACCUAGGCGACGAUCCCUAGCUGGUCUGAGAGGAUGACCAGCCACACUGGAACUGAGACACGGUCCAGACUCCUACGGGAGGCAGCAGUGGGGAAUAUUGCACAAUGGGCGCAAGCCUGAUGCAGCCAUGCCGCGUGUAUGAAGAAGGCCUUCGGGUUGUAAAGUACUUUCAGCGGGGAGGAAGGGAGUAAAGUUAAUACCUUUGCUCAUUGACGUUACCCGCAGAAGAAGCACCGGCUAACUCCGUG